ensembl:lncRNA
AUGAUCACGAACAUCAUGAUCAUAGUGAACAGGAUGAACAAGUGGACAUUAACAGCAGUGGCCCGAGUGAAAACAAUAAACAACCAAGUGAUGACAAUAAACAUAAUGAUUCUACUGGUGAUCCUGAAACUUCUGAAGGGCAACCCCCUGGUCUUGUUUUAGAUACAUGUCUUCAGCCUCCAGAUCUUGGUCAGCAGCUGUUGUCUUAUGAUGAUGGAAUAUUUUGCAUUGCCCCAGCAGAGUGAAACACUCCUGCAAGCAUUUUUAAAGUUUUUAAACUUGAAUCAAUGGCGUUCCCAAUACAGUUCCCUGAUGGUAAGAAUACACUUGAUGAGCCCGAAAGAGCAAAGCAUAUUUCCCCCAGCAGGUACUUCAACACAAGGCUAUUCUCUGUAGAUAACCGUUGCGCAAGAGAUACAGGCUAUAUCUUCUUUGCACAAUUUGUGACUGAAAUACACAUGGCCACAUCUAGUAUGUCUAUCCAGCUGAGAAAAGCAAAACCCAUGACCCGUGAUGGACGCAGAAUAAACUGUUCACUGCUGCAGGACAAACAAGAGUUAGAAAAGCUUGUGAAUAAUAAGGAGGCAACACGUUUCAUGCAACCAUUAAGAGGGACUCCAGCAUACUGGGAGAAAACUAUGCGUGACUUAUUUGCUAUGUUGAGACAGCUGGGCACUCCCACAUUUUUCUGUAUGUUUAGUGCUGCUGAGAUGAGUUGGCCUGAAGUGAUUACUGCUAUUAAAGCACAACAAGGUGAAACUGUGAACUUUGAUGAAUUAGACUGGUCUGAAAAAUGUGAAAUCCUGAGAAGCAACCCAGUCACAGCCAUGCGGAUGUUUGAAAAACGCGUUGAAGCCUUAAUGAGGGAUCUAAUCAUGUCACCUGCUCGACCUAUCGGUGAGGUAAUUGACUUUUUUUACAGAGUAGAAUUUCAGUUACGUGGCUCUCCGCACAUUCACUGCUUAUUUUGGGUGAAAGAUGCUCCAGAGUUCGAAAAUGAUGAAGAUCAGGAUGUUUGUGAUUUCAUUAAUAAAUAUAUCUCAUGCAAAUUACCAGAUCCAAACAAAGACCCAGAACUGCACAGAAUUGUAAGUGAAGUGCAGAUGCACAGCCGUAAUCACUCCAAAUCCUGUAGAAAGAACAAGAAGCACUGCAGAUUUGGAUUUCCUAAACCACCCAUUAACAGAACCACAAUAACCCGCCCCAGACCUCCUCCUGCAGAACAGUCUGAUGAUGAGAAUGGAUCAGAGGAAAGAGAUUAUGCCAGUGUUGCAAAAGAACAGCUACAGAAGGUGUGGGAUCUACUGAAUGACUCAAGUCAGAGUUUUGAAAUGAUUACACAGCUUCUUAAUCAAGUAAACAUGACUUAUGAAGAGUAUGAGAAACAUAUUGAGGCUCUGUCUACAUCAAGUUUAAUAGUUAUGGAGAGACAACCACAGGACUGCUGGGUUAAUGGCUACAAUCCAAUGUUAUUAAGAGCUUGGAAUGCAAACAUGGACAUACAGUUCAUUCUGAACCCCUACAGCUGUAUCAUGUACAUGCUCUCGUACAUUUCAAAAUCUGAACAUGAGAUGAGUGAUUACCUGAAGAGAGUGAUAAAAGACUCAAGCCAUGAUAACCUGUCUGAUCGUGAGUGCAUGAAGCAGGUCAUGAAUGCCUAUUCAAAGAACAGAGAAGUCAGCGCUCAAGAGGCAGUCGCUCGCACAUGCAGUCUGAAAUUGAAAUCAUCAUCACGUUCUGUCAUAUUCAUACCCACUGAUGACAAUGCUGUAAAGAUGAGUUUACCAAUGAGGUACUUGCAGACCAUGGAUGAUGACGUGGAGAAUGUGUGGAUGACAGGAUUGCCUGACAAGUACAAGGCCAGACCAAACAGAACUGAAUUUGAGAACAUGUGCAUGGCGGAAUUUGCAAGUGAAUACCGCAUUGUUUAUGGAAGACAGAAAAAUGGUAAACAAGUUUUGCCACUCCAACAAAACAUGGGACACAUACAGAAAAGAACAAAGGGAAAACCUGCUGUUAUUAGAUUUGCUCGUUUCUCACAAGAAAAACAUGCAGACAAAUUCUAUGGAACUCUUCUAAAACUGUACUUGCCAUAUCGCACAGAAGAACAGCUGAAGUCCACAAGAUUCCCAACAUAUAAAUCAUUUUAUGCAUUUGCUUCAGUAAAACUACUAGGAACUGAUGAACUGCAGCCUGUGUUCAACACUGUAAAUGAAAACUGUAAGAAAUAUGAAAAACACAACGAGGCUAUUGAAAAGGCAAUUGAGGAUUUUGAACAGAAUGGGCCAAUUGAAGAUUCAUGGACUACACUGGCACCUGCAAAUGAACUGAUCAGAUUGGAGAGCAUUAUGGAACGUGAACCCACUGAUCCUAA